rnacentral:rRNA from 1 species
AGAACGAACGCUGGCGGCAGGCUUAACACAUGCAAGUCGAACGCUUCACCCUCGGGUGGAGAGUGGCAGACGGGUGAGUAACACGUGGGAACGUACCCCUUUGUUCGGAAUAACCCUGGGAAACUAGGGCUAAUACCGGAUACGGCCGAGAGGCGAAAGGUUUACCGCAGAGGGAUCGGCCCGCGUCCGAUUAGCUAGUUGGUGAGGUAACGGCUCACCAAGGCAUUGAUCGGUAGCUGGUCUGAGAGGAUGACCAGCCACAUUGGGACUGAGACACGGCCCAAACUCCUACGGGAGGCAGCAGUGGGGAAUAUUGGACAAUGGGCGCAAGCCUGAUCCAGCCAUGCCGCGUGAGUGAUGAAGGCCUUAGGGUUGUAAAGCUCUUUUACCUGGAAGAUCAUGACGGUACCAGGAGAAUAAGCCCGGCUAACUUCGUGCCAGCAGCCGC